ensembl:lncRNA
AUGAGCGAGUCCGCACGAAAUUUAGUAAAAGCAAUUUUAAGUAACGAUCAUCUAAUUAACACCCUGGCGAAUGCGUGUACGGGCCAAAAUACUGGCAACCGUACACAACAUCGUUCUACUGAUGAAGAAAUUUAUUCGUUAUUUCAUCGCGGAAGAGCGAAUGCGGUGAACUUCACAGCCCAGGAAGUUCCUGCUUAUCAAGCAAACAUUACAGAAAGAAACAUGCCUUCUACUUCACAGGGACCACCCACAGCUAUCUACAAUCUUCGCCCGUUCACUCGAAAGGGCCCUAGACAUAAGAGGUUUCAGGCACAAGGCAGUUUACGUCCGGUGGCUCAGUCUUUCACCAAAGAAGUUAUCCUCCUGCCAGACCAUACAUCUACACAUGUGCCAAGGCGUGCCAAGAAAGCUUGGCUUUUUGAAAAGGGACAUAUAAAGUCUGCCUUAGAAUUUGGGUGUGACUGGGACGCUGACAAAGUUAUGCAGACUAUAACAGCAGCCUUCCAGCCAGUUGUGGAGGGAUGCAGGUAAACGUUAGCUGCGUUUAAUCACAUUUAUUACUUAUUUUAUAUUUUUGCAGUAAUACUAGUAGUAUUAUAGGUUAAUUUGGAGUGUUUGUGCUUUGAUAAAUAUCCCUUGUUGUGAUAUGUAACAAAAUUAAAAAUAUUGGAUUUAUACAUUAUGGUUGUAAAUAUCUAAUUCUUUUAAAUUUAUAUUCAUUUAUCUGAAUUGAACUGAAUUAACUGACCAACUGAUAUACUGACAGUAUCAAAAUUUGUAUGUGUAGACAAAUGGUGUAUUGAAACCAUACCUUUCCAUGUACUGUUGUGUAGUCUUCUAGCUUCAAAAUAAGUUUCAUAUACAGUGUGCUUUUUAUUUCGUCAGAUUACAAAUCUUGAUGUCGUGCUACAACAAAUUAGUGGAGCCAUCCCUGACUUCUAAACAGACUUUAGGUGGAGACCUUCUGAAAAAACUUUUUCUUCAGAAGUCCAUUUAUGUCAGGCCUGACAAGGUCAUUUUAAGUGAAGAGAAAGAAUCUGUAAGUAGUGCAGAAGAUUUUUUUAAAAUUUUAAAUUACAGUAUUGUCAAAAUUAUUAGGCACCCUAGUAUUUUCAGCCUCCAAAAAUUGCUAUAAGCCAGUUAUUAAUAUAUUUUGCUGUGGUGUGUAUAUAGGAAAUAUCAAUUCAUAUUUCAAAACAUUUUUUUUUUUUACAUUGUGUAAUAAUCAAAUUAGAUUUUUGUUUGCACAAGGACAACAGUUGGUCUGCACCACACAGAGAUCUGAACUCACCAUCAUCAAGUGCAUCUGUGAUUACAUGAAUGAACUGAGACAGACAAAAUCCAGAAGAACUGUGACAACACCUUGAAGAUGCUUGAAGAAACUCACCUGCAAAACUACUUGCAAGUGUACCAAAGGACAAAAGCUGUUGAAACACAAACUUUCAUAUGAUUUAGUUAACAGUAGUUAAUUGUUAAAUUUCAUCUAUUCAUUAUUUUUGCAAGCAUCCAAAAUUUACAGCAUUUUUGUUAGAUCUUUCUUCAAGCAUAUUGGAGAUGUUGCCACAGUUCUUCUGGAUUAAGUCUUCUGGUUUCUUCUUUUUCUCCAAUCGCACAUGGACUUGGUGAUGUGAGAUCACAUCCCUUUGUGGUGCACCGGAUGUUGUACAUAAAUCACAAUGGAUUAUUACAAUUAAUGUCAAAAGAAAUGUAAACAAUACUUCCUAUAUAAAAUGAUUUUCCCUAUAGACUCACAAAAGCAAAACAUUAAGAUUAAAUAUAUUUUUUGGGGGGGAAUGAAG